ensembl:lincRNA 9430024E24Rik RIKEN cDNA 9430024E24 gene
GCUGAAGCUAGCUACAGACCCUCAGGGCUCAGCUGGGAGGGAUUUAUUGGAGAAUUUCAAUCAUGGGGUCUUGGCUCAAACUUGUUGCUUCCCUCAAAAAAUCUGCCCAGAAGUUUGAUUACAUGUGGGAUUGGGGCACGAGGGGCCAGUCUGAUGAUCUCGCAAUUCAGAAUUCCACCUGGGCCUCUGGGAGUGUUGCAGCCCCGAGAGGAAGAGAACAGGACACAGGACAGCCAGCGAGAGCGGGUUCUGACAUGAUGCGGAGUGGAAAUCUUGGACGCCUAAUGACAUAUUUCUACCCAGGAAGAAUUUUGAAUUCCGAAGGCACACUUGAUUAAAACCCCAAACCCUGAGCAGUUGCUGAUGGAACCACCCGACACUUUGACUUCUGGGUGUCAGUGCUUAAUUAAAAUAUUCACCCAGCUGCUCUUCCCUUGCCAAGGGGACCCAAAGGAAUUAAACCAAUAAGCUUAAUUCCGUUAGGUCACCUGCCUGUGUAUACAGAGACAUGGAAGACCAUUUACCAGUUCAGAAAUAAAGUGUCAGAUCCACCCAGCAAACCCAGCGUGGACCACACAGCAAACCAGUCCCCGAGAUGGACAGCAUCACCCUCUGCCAUCUCCGUUUCCAGCUUGGAACACACGCAGCUAUUUUUAAGGUCUCUUCCAGUAUGACCAAAGUGACGCACUAGUCAAUACAAGGAUUACUAUGCC